rnacentral:rRNA from 1 species
UACAGAGGGGGGCAAGCGUUAUUCGGAAUUAUUGGGCGUAAAGGGCGCGUAGGCGGCUUGGCAAGUGGAUGGUGAAAUCCCUCGGCUUAACCGAGGAACGGCCGUCCAAACUGCUUCGCUUGAGACCGGGAGAGGUGAGUGGAAUUCCCAGUGUAGCGGUGAAAUGCGUAGAUAUUGGGAGGAACACCAGUGGCGAAGGCGGCUCACUGGCCCGUAACUGACGCUGAGGCACGAAAGCGUGGGGAGCAAACAGG